GAUGAACGCUGGCGGCGUGCCUAAUACAUGCAAGUCGAGCGAACAGACGAGGAGCUUGCUCCUCUGACGUUAGCGGCGGACGGGUGAGUAACACGUGGAUAACCUACCUAUAAGACUGGGAUAACUUCGGGAAACCGGAGCUAAUACCGGAUAAUAUAUUGAACCGCAUGGUUCAAUAGUGAAAGACGGUUUUGCUGUCACUUAUAGAUGGAUCCGCGCCGCAUUAGCUAGUUGGUAAGGUAACGGCUUACAAAGGCAACGAUGCGUAGCCGACCUGAGAGGGUGAUCGGCCACACUGGAACUGAGAUACGGUCCAGACUCCUACGGGAGGCAGCAGUAGGGAAUCUUCCGCAAUGGGCGAAAGCCUGACGGAGCAACGCCGCGUGAGUGAUGAAGGUCUUCGGAUCGUAAAACUCUGUUAUUAGGGAAGAACAAAUGUGUAAGUAACUAUGCACGUCUUGACGGUACCUAAUCAGAAAGCCACGGCUAACUACGUG
rnacentral:rRNA from 1 species